AGUUCAUUUUUGCCUAACAAUUCCAUCUUCCACUCAGUUCUCUCUUCUGGCAUUUUCCUUAAGCAGUCAGGAGGGGUCAAGCCACAGCUCCAACACCUUGCUUAGAAAUCACUUCAGCUCAGUAUCCAGUUUUAUCACUUUCAAGUUCCACAUUUCACAAAACACUAGAACAGAAACACAGUUCAGCCCAUGUCUUUGCCUCUCAAGGAUCACUUUUCCUCCAGUUUCCAGUCUGAGGUCUCAGCAGAAUGGCCUUUACUCCCAAUAUUUCUACCAACAUCCGCUUCAUGACUACUUAAGUGUUCUCCAAGAAGCCUGAUGCUUUCUCUACAGCUCUCCUCUUUUCUUUCUGAGUCCUCAUCAGAAUUAGACAUGGGUCAAGCAUGCACCUCCAAACUCUCCCAGCCUCUUUCCAUCACCCAGUUCCCAAGCUGCUUACACACGGUUAGGUAUCUGCAACAACAAUCUCACUCCCAGUACCAAUUUCGGACUUUGUCUAUUGAGGCUGCUCUAACAGGAUGCCACAGUGGCUUACAAACAACAGAAACACAUAAACAGAGUGGCUUAUAAACAACAGAAAUUUCUCUCCCAUGGUUCUGGAGGCCGGACACUCUAAGAUCAAGGCACCGGCAGAUUCAGUGUCUGCAGGUGCAAGCCUGCUUCGUGAUCCAGAAAGAAAGGACUUGGUAUGUUGGAGAAAAGUGAAAGUUGAUGCAAGAGAGUGUGGGGAACGAGGACAUGAAAUGAGAGUGAUAAAUAUGGCAGGAAGUAUGGCGUUCCUGUUGUGGCGCAGCAGAAGUGAAUCCGACUAGUAUCCAUGGGGACAUAGGUUCAAUCCCUGGCCUCACGAAGUGGGUUAAGGAUCUGGCACUGCCGAGAGCUGUGGUGUAGGUCGCAGACGUGGCUCGGAUCCCACGUUGCUCUGGCUGUGGUGUAGGCCCUAUUUAGCCUCUGGCCUGGGAACUUACAUAUGCUGCAGGUGCGGCCCUAAAAAGAAAAAGGGGUGGGGGGGUAGGAGCUAAACCAUCAGGGUAGGCUUGUGUGGAUGUGGAAGAGUGUUCAGCUUUUAUUCUAAGAACAACGGAAAUUCUCCAAAUAGCCUUCAUCAGAGGAAUGGAGGGGUGAAAUUCACAUUGUAUAACAUCCUCCGUGGCUGCUGGGUAGAAAGUGGUGUAGAGGGCUGCAGGAAUAUAACUGGGAAAACAGAUUUGGAGCAGGAGUCCAGAAGAGAGGUCACGCUGGUUGCACUUGGUUGAUGGCAGUAGAAACAGAAUGAUGUAGACUAACAGGAAAGAUAUUUCAGAAGUAAAUUCCAAAAUCUUAGUGAUGGAUUAAAUAUGGAAGGUAAGAGAGAAAGAAAAAUCAAGAAAGACUCCCAUGAUUCUGGGCUGGGCUGCUGCUAGGUGAUACCAUUUACAGAAACUUUGGAUAAACAUUUUGAGGAGUGACUAUUUUGGACAUUUCAUGGCUAAGAUAGAUGCAAAAUAUCCAAGUGGCGAUGUCAGAUCUUCAAAUAUUGUCAGUGGUGACAAGAAUAGGAUGACUAGAAAGACUAUUGGACAGAAGUCUUCAAGGAGUGAGCAGGAAUGGUGCAACUAAGAUUAAAGGGCACCGUCUUUAGUACCUAGUAUCUGGGGUAGCAUCAGUUCCUCUUCACCAACUGUUUCCUUGUUUAGCUACUGCUCCCUAGAGCUCAUCUGCCUUUUCCUCUUGAGGAGCUCCUUUGGAGUUCCUCAAAGUUUGAUUUCCUCAUGCUCACAGAUCAGCUUGAGGAGAUGAGGGACAAAGAGAACUAUUAGGGUAGGAAUGUCAGCCCUGAUUCUGAGUAUGUGUGGGGCCAGAAAAAUCAGGUUCCUGGUGGGGAACACUCUUGAGAGUUUUUGCUCCCCACAGGAUGAAAAGGAUCCCCUUUCAGGAUGAAGAUCACUUGGGUGAGGCUGCAAGAUCUACCAAUGGGAGUGCCCUGCUGGGAUGAAGAAAGAAGGACCAAGAUAUGAGACAGAAGGACAAAGAGGAAGGGUAUGUUAAAUCAGCUCCUAGCAUGUGCCAGACUUGUGUGAGGCUCCCGAGUUGCACUCUGCACAAAACCACCCGAUUCAAAGUAUAGAUACCACAGAUUUGCAUAUUUAUCCUGACAAUUGUCUGGCAGACAGUAGUGUUAUGGCGUCAACAGUGUCCCCUGCAAAUGCAUAUGUUGAACCUCUAGCCCUCAGUGUAACUGUACUUGGAGAUACGGCCUUUAAGGAGGUAAUCAAAGUUAAGCACAUCACAAGCACGGAACCCUAAUCUGAUAGGACUGGUGUCCUUGUAAGAAGAGGACAAGACACCCAGAGAAGCCAUGCAAGGACAGAGCGAGGCGGCCAAAUGCAAUCCAACCAGAGGGGCUUCAGGGGAGACCAAGCCCGUCGGCACUAUGAUCGUGACCAUCCAGACUCCGGGACUGCGAGAAAUAACCUCUGCUGUGUAUGCCACCCAGCUUGUGACAUUCUGCCGUGGCUCUAGAAAAUUAGCGUAAGCAGUAAAGUGUCUUGUUCUAAGUAUCAGUAUGUUAAGGAGAUGUGCUAAUAGGCAGAAGUCAAAUCACUUGAGAAAAUGGUUGAUUUUUUUUAAUUUUUUAAAUUUUUUUUUGCAAUUCACAUAAAGUUGUCAUAGAGACCAGCAGUGACCCUGAGGGUCACUAGACUAGACCAGAUGCCUUCUUUUACGUUGUCUCAUUUCAUCAGUAUGCAGCUCCUCGAUAAAAGUAGUAAGAUGAAGAAAAAGAAACUCAGAGAAGCUCAGUGACUUGAUUAGAGUCAACCAGACACUGGUAAAAAGCUGAGCUAAAAUUUGUAUCUCUAAAAACAAAACAAAACAAAAAACCACUGGGAGCUCUAGAGGUUCCUAAAAACACUUAGGAUGGAGCAUGAUAAUGUGAUAAUGAUAAUGUGACAAAAAAGAAUGUAUAUGUGUAUGUGUAUAUGUAUAUGUGUAUAUGUAUAUGUACAUGUAUGUGUAUGUAUAUAUGUGUAUGUGUAUGUGUGACUGGGUACAGUAGAAAAUUGACAGAACUUUGUAAACCAGCUAUAAUGGAAAAAAAUAAAAAUCAUUUUAAAAAUAAAUAAAUAAAUAAAAUAAAAUUUGUAUCUCAAUCAGGCUACUCCAAAACUCACCUCUUUCCCACCUUACCACACUGUCUCCCAUUGCCAAUUCUAGCAUAAAAGAGAUGCUACUAACAUCAACUGCACUUUUACUCAGCCUCAGACAUUCUGCCAGACGCGCUCCCAUAUAAUGAUGAAGUAGGUAUUAUUAACUCUGCCAGAGAUAAGGAAACGGAGUCCCAGAGAAGUUAAGUAACUUGCCCAAGGCCACACAGCUUAGCAAAUUGUAACCUGCCUGUUACAGCUCCUUUCUCCCCCUCUUCACCUCACACUCCACUAUUGAACGUGCCCUCUUCUCAUAUGCAAUUCAUAAACAGAAAAGAGCCUUUCUCUAUUCGACAUAGCAUUUAUUUCCUUUUAACACAAACAACAUUAUCGAAAGUCAUUUACAAAGUAAAUACGAUAGCAAUUGUCUGAAAAUGCAUUUGCUCCCUAAAAGUAAAUAAAUGAAGAUCAAGUUGGAGUUAAACAACUGCUGCAUUUCAUUGAAUUUUUAUCUAGGUCUUUCUCUUGAUGUAUAUAGUUUUUACUUGGUUGAAUUAUUAAUUUCACUCUAAAGAUUAAUUUGGCCCUCUAAAAGAGCAUAAAAAUUAAUAUUCAGCCAAGAUAUGAAUCUUUUUUCAUUUUAAUUUUAGUGGAAAUCAAUUUGUUAAAAUAUUGUUGAGUGCCAUUUGUUACUUACUCACUCCCACUUUUCUGCUCAAGUUGAAGUAUUUGGAAAUAUCUACAUAAACACUUUUUGUCAAUAUUACCAAGAUUUAUGUUGCCAAGUUCCUGUAACUGCUACCUCUAAGAGCACUAUGAAUUAUGCUAUGUGAUGUUAGGUUUUAUUGAACUGAUAUAACAAAGAAAUGAUCAAUUAGAAAAAAACCUCACAAUGAUUUUUGUCUCCAGAAGGCAGUAUGUAGAAAUGACUUCGAGGUCAUUUGAAGAGAUACAACCAAAACACUGGCUGUAGCCCUUUUCAGGUCACCUGGUUGGUUAGGAGGCAAUUCCGUGCAUUUCUGAACACAUUCGCUUUGGUGGUCACUACGCAGGAUGGGGCUCCAACAAAACCCCCUAGCCAGAGUCAGAGUUAGGAUUUAUUCAGGUCUCUUCUCCCACACCCGCCCCCUCCUCUUCUUCCUCUCCUUCUUCUUCCCCGACCACCAAUUUCAGGGGUUCCCAUGACAAAGAACCACCAUCGGAGUUCCCAUCGCAGUUCAGUGCUUAAUGAACCCCACUAGUAACCAUGAGGUGGUCAGUUUGAUCCCUGGCCUCACUCAGUGGGCUAAGGAUCCAGCGUUGCCAUGAGCUGUGGUGUAGAUGCAGCUCGGAUCCUGCAUCACUGUGGCUGUGGCAAAGGCUGCCAGCUACAGCUCCAGUCCGACCCCACUCUGAUUCGACCCUAGCCUGGGAACCCUAGCCCUAAAAAG
rnacentral:lncRNA from 1 species